rnacentral:misc_RNA from 1 species
UGUAGGAGUGAGCCUGCUCGCGAUGGCGCCAGAUCAGCCAAUAGCUUAUUGACUGACACGAUGCUAUCGCGAGCAGGCUCACUCCUACA